rnacentral:rRNA from 1 species
GAUGAACGCUAGCUACAGGCUUAACACAUGCAAGUCGAGGGGAAACGAUAGGGAAAGCUUGCUUUUUCUAGGCGUCGACCGGCGCACGGGUGAGUAACGCGUAUCCAACCUGCCCAUCACUUGGGGAUAACCUUGCGAAAGUAAGACUAAUACCCAAUGACGUCUCUAGAAGACAUCUGAAGGAGAUUAAAGAUUUAUCGGUGAUGGAUGGGGAUGCGUCUGAUUAGCUUGUUGGCGGGGUAACGGCCCACCAAGGCGACGAUCAGUAGGGGUUCUGAGAGGAAGGUCCCCCACAUUGGACCUGAGACACGGUCCAAACUCCUACGGGAGGCAGCAGUGAGGAAUAUUGGUCAAUGGACGAGAGUCUGAACCAGCCAAGUAGCGUGCAGGAAGACGGCCCUAUGGGUUGUAAACUGCUUUUAUAAGGGAAUAAAGUGAGUCUCGUGAGACUUUUUGCAUGUACCUUAUGAGUAAGGACCGGCUAAUUCCGUGCCAGCAGCCGCCGUAA